rnacentral:rRNA from 1 species
CGUGAGAUGUUGGGUUAAGUCCCGCAACGAGCGCAACCCUUGAUCUUAUUUGCCAUCAUUUAUUUGGGCACUCUAAGGUGACUGCCGGAGACAAACCAGAAGAAGGUGGAGAUGACCUCAAAUCAUCAUGCCCCUUAUGACCUGGUCUACACACGUGCUACAAUGGACGAUACAAACGGUUGCCAACUCGCGAGAGGGAUCUAAUCCUAUAAACUCUUUCUCAUUUCAGAUUGUACGCUGCAACUCCCCUACAUGAACCCAGAAUCUCUAGUAAUCGCAGAUCAACAUGCCGCGGUGAAUACUUUCCCGGCUCGUGUACACACAGA